rnacentral:rRNA from 1 species
UGGGGAAUAUUGCACAAUGGGCGCAAGCCUGAUGCAGCCAUGCCGCGUGUAUGAAGAAGGCCUUCGGGUUGUAAAGUACUUUCAGCGGGGCGGAAGGCGUUAAGGUUAAUAACCUUGGCGAUUGACGUUACCCGCAGAAGAAGCACCGGCUAACUCCGUGCCAGCAGCCGCGGUAAUACGGAGGGUGCAAGCGUUAAUCGGAAUUACUGGGCGUAAAGCGCACGCAGGCGGUCUGUCAAGUCGGAUGUGAAAUCCCCGGGCUCAACCUGGGAACUGCAUUCGAAACUGGCAGGCUAGAGUCUUGUAGAGGGGGGUAGAAUUCCAGGUGUAGCGGUGAAAUGCGUAGAGAUCUGGAGGAAUACCGGUGGCGAAGGCGGCCCCCUGGACAAAGACUGACGCUCAGGUGCGAAAGCGUGGGGAGCAAACAGG